rnacentral:sRNA from 1 species
GGAUCUACAGAGGAGAAAGGAGGAAGUGACAAGGCUGUGGGAAGAACAAAGGAAGUGACGGAUCUUCUCUGGGGAGAGAGCAUGGCGAGCACCAGAACACAUUCAGGAAGGAGAAACCGCCCUGGGAGUCAGUGUUCCGGAGCCCGCACACCUAAAACAGGAGCUAAUAGGCCUGGAGAACGCAGGCUGUGACCUCUCUCCCCUUGACAAGACUCUGUGGCAGCAAAGAGCUUUUA